rnacentral:rRNA from 1 species
CCUACGGGUGGCAGCAGUGGGGAAUAUUGCGCAAUGCGGGGAAGAGUGAUGCAGCGACGCCGCGUGAAUGACGAAGGCCCUCGGCGCGUAAAGUUCUGUCGGCAGGGAAGAAAAUGCCGAUAAGUAACGGAGUAGGCACUGCUAACUCCGGGCUAGGAGCCGCGGUAAAACGGCGGGGGAGAGCGUUCUCCGGUGUUACUGGGCGUAAAGGGGGCGGGGGCGGCGUUGCAAGACAGGAGUGAAGGCCUAGGGCUCAACCCUAGGAAGGCUAGUGGAACUGAGUUGCUAGAGUGCAGGAGAGGAAUGCAGAAUUCCUGGUGUAGCGGUGAAAUGCGUAGAUAUCACGAAGAACUCCGUUAGCGAAGGCAGCACACUGGAUGGAAACUGACGCUGAGGCGCGAAAGCGUGGGUAGCAAACAGGAUUAGAUACCCUGGUAGUC